CGUUAAUUGCAUGACACACUCCAGCAACAGGGCAUAUAGCUUUGACAACAACAAAUGAAGUUGUCACAACCAAAACAAGAAGAACCACCAGCCAGCCAACUUUGAUGAGCACAACAAAAGAGACGGAGUCUAUUACAACAACCAAUGAGACAACAACCAGCUACACAAGCAGAGAAUAUAUGACAACAACAUCGUCACAUACGCUGUCAGGCUCUUUCACUACAACAACAGGAAGAAAUACAGUGGCAGCCAUUUCUAAUGGUUAUACAUCAAAAGUAGGUGGAGUUACAGGCAUAAUUCUCCUUUGCCUGGUGGCAGCAGUAUUCAUUUUCUUGUGGUUAAGACAUAGAAAUCAUAGAAACCAGAUUGUAUAUCACCCCAAACCAGAUCCCUGCACUUCCUACAUACCUUUACCAGUCUGUGCAUCUGAACACAGUUCGGCUCAAUCAAACAAAGCAGAUGAAAACUCCACAGAAGCCUCUGUCACUGACAAAAAUCCAGGUGCGGACACUUGUGAUGAGCUACUCCCACAAACAGACUCCUGAUAAGCCUUGUU
rnacentral:lncRNA from 1 species